UUUGGAGGGCAAGUCUGGUGCCAGCAGCCGCGGUAAUUCCAGCUCCAAUAGCGUAUAUUAAAGUUGUUGCAGUUAAAAAGCUCGUAGUUGAAUUUCGGGRUCAGCAGGUUGGUCGUGCCAACGGUAUGCACUGGCCUUGCUGAUUCCUCCCUCUUGAUGAGCCGUAAUGCCAUUAAUUUGGUGUUGCGGGGAAUCAGGACUGUUACUUUGAAAAAAUUAGAGUGUUUAAAGCAGGCAAGCGCUUGAAUACAUUAGCAUGGAAUAAUGAAAUAGGACGUUCGAUCCUAUUUUGUUGGUUUCUAGGAUUGACGUAAUGAUUAAUAGGGAUAGUUGGGGGCAUUAGUAUUCAAUUGUCAGAGGUGAAAUUCUUGGAUUUAUUGAAGACUAACUACUGCGAAAGCAUUUGCCAAGGAUGUUUUCAUUAAUCAAGAACGAAAGUUAGGGGAUCGAAGACGAUCAGAUACCGUCGUAGUCUUAACCAUAAACCAUGCCGACUAGGGAUCGGAUGAUGUU
rnacentral:rRNA from 1 species